rnacentral:rRNA from 1 species
GAUGAACGCUGACAGAAUGCUUAACACAUGCAAGUCAACUUGAACUUCGGUUUGGGUGGCGGACGGGUGAGUAACGCGUAGAGAACUUGCCUCACAGCUAGGGACAACAUUUGGAAACGAAUGCUAAUACCUGAUAUUAUGAUUUUAGGGCAUCCUAGAAUUAUGAAAGCUAUAUGCGCUGUGAGAGAGCUUUGCGUCCCAUUAGCUAGUUGGAGAGGUAACGGCUCACCAAGGCGAUGAUGGGUAGCCGGCCUGAGAGGGUGAACGGCCACAAGGGGACUGAGACACGGCCCUUACUCCUACGGGAGGCAGCAGUGGGGAAUAUUGGACAAUGGACCAAGAGUCUGAUCCAGCAAUUCUAUGUGCACGAUGAAGUUUUUCGGAAUGUAAAGUGCUUUCAGUUGGGAAGAAAAAAAUGACGGUACCAACAGAAGAAGUGACGGCUAAAUACGUG